AUUGAACGCUGGCGGCAGGCCUAACACAUGCAAGUCGAGCGGAGCGGCGGGCGGGUGAGUAAUGCAGAGGAAUAUGCAUGGUCGUGGGGGAUAACGUCCGGAAACGGGCGCUAAUACCGCAGACUAUCAGCUGAACCUAGGUCGGAUUAGCUAGUUGGUGGGGUAAAGGCCUACCAAGGCGACGAUCCGUAACUGGUCUGAGAGGAUGAUCAAUAACACUGGACUUGAAAGACGGUCCAGACUACGACGUGAGGCACGAGUGGGGAAUAUUGGACAAUGGGCGAAAGACUGACCAAGCCAUGCCGCGUGUGUGAAGAAGGUCUUCGGAUUGUAAAGCUCUUUAAGUUGGGAGGCGUUACCAACAGCAUAAGAACCGGCUAACUUCGUGCCAGCAGCCGCGAUAAUUC
rnacentral:rRNA from 1 species